rnacentral:rRNA from 17 species
UCAAUAAGCGGAGGAAAAGAAACUAACAAGGAUUCCCCUAGUAACGGCGAGUGAAGCGGGAAGAGCUCAAAUUUGUAAUCUGGCACUUUCAGUGUCCGAGUUGUAAUCUCGAGAAGUGUUUUCCGCGCCGGACCGCAUACAAGUCUGUUGGAAUACAGCGUCAUAGUGGUGAGAACCCCGUAACUGAUGCGGAUGCCCGGUGCUUUGUGAUACACUUUCGAAGAGUCGAGUUGUUUGGGAAUGCAGCUCAAAUUGGGUGGUAAAUUCCACCUAAAGCUAAAU